CCUACAUGAAGCUGGAAUUGCUAGUAAUCACAGGUCAGCAUACUGUGGUGAAUACGUUCCCGGGCCUUGUACACACCGCCCGUCACACCAUGAGAGUUGAGAAUACCCGAAGCCCAUGUCAAAGUGGUCGAAGGUAGGCUUGAUGAUUGGGGUGAAGUCGUAACAAGGUAGC
rnacentral:rRNA from 1 species